GACGAACGCUGGCGGCGUGCUUAACACAUGCAAGUCGAGCGGUAAGGCCCUUUCGGGGGUACACGAGCGGCGAACGGGUGGAGUAACAACGUGGGUGGACCUGCCCUCCAGCUCUGGGAGUAAGCCUGGGAAACGUAGGGGUCUAAUACUGGAUAUGACUCCACGGUGCAUGUCGUGGGGUGGAAAGCCUUGUGCGGCUGAGGAUGGGCCCGCGGCCUAUCAGCUUGUUGGUGGGGNGAUGGCCUACCAAGGCGACGACGGGUAGCCGGCCUGAGAGGGCGACCGGCCACACUGGGACUGAGACACGGCCCAGACUCCUACGGGAGGCAGCAGUGGGGAAUCUUGCGCAAUGGGCGAAAGCCUGACGCAGCGACGCCGCGUGAGGGAUGACGGCCUGG
rnacentral:rRNA from 1 species